GUACCUACUAGCCUACGACGGGUACGGGUUGUGAGAGCAAGAGCCCGGAGAUGGAUUUUGAGACAAGAAUCCAGGCCCUACGGGGUGCAGCAGGCGCGAAAACUUUACAAUGCUGGCAACAGCGAUAAGGGAACCUCGAGUGCCAGGUUACAAAUCUGGCUGUCGAGAUGCCUAAAAAGCAUUUCAUAGCAAGGGCCGGGCAAGACCGGUGCCAGCCGCCGCGGUAACACCGGCGGCUCGAGUGGUAACCGUUAUUAUUGGGUCUAAAGGGUCUGUAGCCGGCCGGAUAAGUCUCUUGAGAAAUCUGGCAGCUUAACUGUCAGGCUUUCAGGAGAUACUGUCUGGCUCGAGGCCGGGAGAGGUGAGAGGUACUUCAGGGGUAGGGGUGAAAUCUUGUAAUCCUUGAAGGACCACCAGUGGCGAAGGCGUCUCACCAGAACGGACCUGACGGCAAGGGACGAAAGCUAGGGGCACGAACCGGAUUAGAUACCCGGGUAGUCCUAGCCGUAAACGAUACUCGCUAGGUGUCGGCCACGGUGCGACCGUUGUCGGUGCCGUAGGGAAGCCGUGAAGCGAGCCACCUGGGAAGUACGGCCGCAAGGCUGAAACUUAAAGGAAUUGGCGGGGGAGCACCACAACGGGUGGAG
rnacentral:rRNA from 1 species